UACGUAGGGGGCAAGCGUUGUCCGGAAUUACUGGGCGUAAAGGGCUCGUAGGCGGCCAACUAAGUCAGACGUGAAAUCCCCAGGCUCAACCUGGGAACUGCGUCUGAUACUGGAUGGCUUGAAUUCGGGAGAGGGAUGCAGAAUUCCAGGUGUAGCGGUGAAAUGCGUAGAUAUCUGGGGGAAUACCGGUGGCGAAGGCGGCAUCCUGGACCGACAUUGACGCUGAUGAGCGAAAGCUAGGGGAGCAAACGGG
rnacentral:rRNA from 1 species